AUUCGCGGCCUAUCAGCUUGUUGGUGGGGUAAUGGCUUACCAAGGCGACGACGGGUAGCCGGCCUGAGAGGGCGACCGGCCACACUGGGACUGAGACACGGCCCAGACUCCUACGGGAGGCAGCAGUGGGGAAUAUUGCGCAAUGGGGGAAACCCUGAUGCAGCGACGCAGCGUGCGGGAUGACGGCCUUCGGGUUGUAAACCCCUUUCAGCAGGGAAGAAGCGUAAGUGACGGUACCUGCAGAAGAAGUACCGGCUAACUACGUGCCAGCAGCCGCGGUAAUACGUAGGGUACGAGCGUUGUCCGGAAUUAUUGGGCGUAAAGAGCUCGUAGGUGGUUGGUCACGUCUGCUGUGGAAACGCAACGCUCAACGUUGCGCGGGCAGUGGGUACGGGCAGACUAGAGUGCAGUAGGGGAGUCUGGAAUUCCUGGUGUAGCGGUGAAAUGCGCAGAUAUCAGGAGGAACACCGGUGGCGAAGGCGGGACUCUGGGCCGUAACUGACACUGAGGAGCGAAAGCAUGGGGAGCGAACAGGAUUAGAUACCCUGGUAGUCCAUGCCGUAAACGUUGGGCACUAGGUGUGGGGGGCAUUCCACGUUUUCCGCGCCGUAGCUAACGCAUUAAGUGCCCCGCCUGGGGAGUACGGAAU
rnacentral:rRNA from 1 species